GCUAGCGCUAGCAUGUGCUACGGUUAGCCACAUCGUCUCAGCUAGUGACGUGGAAAGACGUGCAGAUGUUGAACAGCUCACUGAAGGCAGGCGACAUUCAGAAACCGGAUCUCACUCAAAACAACAUGGAUAUUUUUUCCAAGUUUGUAUGCAUGUAGAAGCACCAGAGACCCAAAAUAACCCCUCAAAUCCCAGAAAAAGUGAUUUUGUUUCUAAUAUGGGCACUUUAAAAU